rnacentral:sRNA from 1 species
UUACGAUCUCGUUAUGGCGAGGCUCCUAUACGAACACAAGUUACCGCUCUAAUGGCAUCGAGAGAGGCCACCAAGGGUAAAACAAGCAUUAGCCGAAUCAAGGCAUUGCUAAGGUAACUUCCCCCUGGGGAUACGUUGUAUAGUGCUAAACCCAAGACGUGGGGAUCGGCU